GAUAAACUUGACCUCAAAUCAG
rnacentral:rRNA from 1 species